UACAGAGGGGGCGAGCGUUGUUCGGAAUUACUGGGCGUAAAGGGCGCGUAGGCGGCCUUCUAAGUCGAACGUGAAAUCCCCGGGCUCAACCCGGGAACUGCGUCCGAUACUGGGAGGCUUGAAUCCGGGAGAGGGAUGUGGAAUUCCCAGUGUAGCGGUGAAAUGCGUAGAUAUUGGGAGGAACACCAGUGGCGAAGGCGGCUCACUGGACAGUGACUGACGCUGAGACGCGAAAGCGUGGGGAGCAAACAGG
rnacentral:rRNA from 1 species